CCCUUAGAUGUUCUGGGCCGCACGCGCGCUACACUGACUGACUCAACGAGUGUACAACCUGCUUCGACAGAAGUGGGUAAUCUUUUGAAAUUCAGUCGUGAUGGGGCUAGAUUAUUGCAACUAUUAAUCUUCAACGAGGAAUGCCUAGUAAGCGCGAAUCAUCAGUUCGCGUUGAUUACGUCCCUGCCCUUUGUACACACCGCCCGUCGCUCCUACCGAUUGAAUGAUUUAGUGAGGACUUCGGACUGGGACCGAUGCGGCUUUCGGGCUGCGUCGGUAUUCUGGAAAGAUGUCCAAACUGUAUCAUUUAGAGGAAGUAAAAGUCGUAACA
rnacentral:rRNA from 1 species